GGCAAGGGUAUCUUGCUGGAGGUCCUUGCCUGCUUGAGGCUCUUCUAAGGAACAAUCAACACUCCAAAUCCUUCUGCUCUGAAAAGUAAAUGUCACUGAGUCGUGCAGAGUUUCUAAAAUAAAGCUGAGUCUGGAAAAGAAGGAAGAAUGUGGUUGUAUUUCUGAACAAAAGUCACAAGAAAGCUUAUCUGCACUGCCUGUUAAUGCAGCCACAUCCAUAAACAGUUCCUGUUCAAACUGCUAUGUCAUUAGAAAAAUGGGAGAAGAGCAUCAUGCAAAUUAACAGCAGGGAGUUUGAGAGAAGGAGAGAUGUUGGACAACAAAAUCUGCAGUCGAUUAAAAGCUUUGCAUUUAAAGAAAUCAAUUGGCAGAACAUUGCUUGGCUACAAGGAUAUUGCAGCCUUUCCAUCACUCACUGAUUCUGUGGAAACAACAUGAAAUUUUGGAAUUUGGACAGGUAUGAGGACUGCUGCAGAAAAGAAACAGCAGCCAGGGGAGCAACUCAGAGGGCUCACUGAGUAAUUCUUAAACACUUAACAGUUUGAUUGUGUGGAGGUGCUGCAUGUUAUUGAAGUUGAUUAGCUUUUCCUCCAUGUUGGGCAGCUUGGCUCCAUAAAUGAUAUCAUUAGUUUGUCUCUUUCUACUCUUUUAGAGCUCUAUGGCAGAGUGGCAGACCAGAGGCACCAGGCACGUGUUGUAAGAAUGAUGUUACCUGAUGAGUAAGGAGCCAUUCAUUUCAAGGAAGGUCACACUAGUGGUGUGACUGGGACACCAUUUCAAACAGGCCUCUUACUUUGGAGCCUUGUAACCUUA